CCUACGGGAGGCAGCAGUGGGGAAUCUUGCGCAAUGGGCGAAAGCCUGACGCAGCCAUGCCGCGUGAAUGAUGAAGGUCUUAGGAUUGUAAAAUUCUUUCACCGGGGACGAUAAUGACGGUACCCGGAGAAGAAGCCCCGGCUAACUUCGUGCCAGCAGCCGCGGUAAUACGAAGGGGGCUAGCGUUGCUCGGAAUUACUGGGCGUAAAGGGAGCGUAGGCGGAUAGUUUAGUCAGAGGUGAAAGCCCAGGGCUCAACCUUGGAAUUGCCUUUGAUACUGGCUAUCUUGAGUAUGGGAGAGGUAUGCGGAACUCCGAGUGUAGAGGUGAAAUUCGUAGAUAUUCGGAAGAACACCAGUGGCGAAGGCGGCAUACUGGCCCAUUACUGACGCUGAGGCUCGAAAGCGUGGGGAGCAAACAGGAUUAGAUACCCUGGUAGCCCACGCUGUAAACGAUGAGUGCUAGUUGUCGGCAUGCAUGCAUGUCGGUGACGCGAGCUACGACAUAAGACACUCCGCCGUCGGGAGGUACGGUCGCGAAGAAGUUAAAACUAACGAAAGAAAGUUAGACGGACGUGAGACGUGCCGAACGGACGACGACGAGGGAGGAGG
rnacentral:rRNA from 1 species